ACAAAUCAAAGUUUGGGUUGUUGAUAUUUGAUGUAUGUACUAUAUAUAUAUAUAUAUCAAUUAUCAUACACACCUAACAUUUGUGCUCCAGGCAUUUCGUCUGGGUGCAAUUAUAUAUAUAUUCAUUAUUGUCAGUUGUUUUGUCUAUUUUAAAUUUAUAAUC
rnacentral:misc_RNA from 1 species